AUUAUUAUAGUAUAUAAAAUACACUAAAUUUAGAAUUUAAAAAAGAAGCAAUCUAAUAAUA
rnacentral:tRNA from 1 species